CCGUUAAAAUCUCAAACCAAGUCGCGGCACCCCCCCUCGCCACCGCGACCCCCCAUCCGUCCAAAAGUGGGGGUAGAGGGAGAAAAGCCGUGGGUCGCCAGACGCGGAUAAGAUCCCCCGUUUGUCCCAACCGCCCUAACGGAGGUUCUCAUAGUUGUUGGAGUUUGAAAUCAAAUUGGGUACCGCACGGAAGGCUGGACAGUAGGCCGCUUGGGGGGCGCCCGUUCGCAAGAUUUAAGCGUGCAAGAAUAUACACGGGCGCCCUGCACAAGCGGGUGGAGUAUGUGGCUUCAAUUCGAUGCAACGUGAAGAACUUUCCCUGGCUUAGACAUGUAGGUAUUAGAAGGGUGAAAGCCUGAUGAGGUAGCAAUACCAGCGUACACAGAUGUUGCAUGGCUGUCGUCAGCUAGUGUAGUGAGAUGUUGGGUUAAGUCCCGCAACGAGAGCAACCCUCCCCUUUAGUUGCCACGCAAGUGGAUCUCUAGAGGGACUGCCGGUGUUAAACCGGAGGAAGGUGGGGAUGACGUCAAGUCCUCAUGGCCUUUAUGACCAGGGCUACACACGUGCUACAAUGGCCGGUACAAAGCGUUGCCAACUCGCGAGAGGGAGCUAAUCGCAUAAAACCGGUCUCAGUUCAGAUUGGAGUCUGCAACUCGACUCCAUGAAGGCGGAAUCGCUAGUAAUCGCGGAUCAGCACGCCGCGGUGAAUACGUUCCCGGGCGUUGUACACACCGCCCGUCACACCAUGGGAGUCAAUUGCUCCAGAAGUCACCGUGCCAACCGCAAGGAGGCAGGUGCCCAAGGAGUGGUUGGUAACUGGGGUGAAGUCGUAACAAGGUAAAUGCCA
rnacentral:rRNA from 1 species